AACGUAGGGGGCGAGCGUUGUCCGGAAUUACUGGGCGUAAAGCGUGCGCAGGCGGCCCGUUAAGACAGGUGUGAAAUCCCUGGGCUCAACCUAGGAAUUGCGCUUGUGACUGGCGGGCUCGAGUACGGUAGAGGGGGGUGGAAUUCCUGGUGUAGCAGUGAAAUGCGUAGAGAUCAGGAGGAACACCGAUGGCGAAGGCAGCCCCCUGGGCCUGUACUGACGCUCAUGCACGAAAGCGUGGGGAGCAAACAGG
rnacentral:rRNA from 1 species